ACGAACGCUGGCGGCGUGCUUAACACAUGCAAAUCGAACGGAAAGGCCCUGCUUUUGUGGGGUGCUCGAGUGGCGAACGGGUAAGUAACACGUGAGUAACCUGCCCUUGACUUUGGGAUAACUUCAGGAAACUGGGGCUAAUACCGGAUAGGAGCUCCUGCUGCAUGGUGGGGGUUGGAAAGUUUCGGCGGUUGGGGAUGGACUCGCGGCUUAUCAGCUUGUUGGUGGGGUAGUGGCUUACCAAGGCUUUGACGGGUAGCCGGCCUGAGAGGGUGACCGGCCACAUUGGGACUGAGAUACGGCCCAGACUCCUACGGGAGGCAGCAGUGGGGAAUAUUGCACAAUGGGCGGAAGCCUGAUGCAGCAACGCCGCGUGCGGGAUGACGGCCUUCGGGUUGUAAACCGCUUUCGCCUGUGACGAAGCGUGAGUGACGGUAAUGGGUAAAGAAGCACCGGCUAACUACGUG
rnacentral:rRNA from 1 species